AAAACCGAAAUGGCAUCACUCAAGCAAGAGAAACCUACUUCCACUCAACCCACUGCCGGGCAGGCCAAGAAAGAGCCUGCUCCAAAAGCUUGUUGUACCACACCCAAAGCUCCAGCCUCCAAACCCGACCCUAAGAAGGCUGAGACAAAGCCUAGGGAGCUUAAGAAGAGGGUAAGUGCCUAAAUACAUCGAUCCAUAUAUUUUCAUAUUUAUUGGGCACCAAACAUGUGCUUAUUAACACCUUAAAUUUUGUUUUGCGACGGUUUUAUCAGACAACAGGAAGCAAGCCUGCAGCCAAGAAUUAGAUGAAAGAAACGGUGUGAGGCGAGGAGUGCAUGAAGAUGCUGAAUCACUGUGGUCCUCCAUAUUCUGAUAAUAAUAUGUC
rnacentral:lncRNA from 1 species